rnacentral:rRNA from 1 species
UACGUAGGGUGCAAGCGUUAAUCGGAAUUACUGGGCGUAAAGCGUGCGCAGGCGGUUUUGUAAGCCAGAUGUGAAAUCCCCGGGCUUAACCUGGGAAUGGCAUUUGGGACUGCAAGGCUUGAGUGCGGCAGAGGAGACUGGAAUUCCUGGUGUAGCAGUGAAAUGCGUAGAUAUCAGGAGGAACACCGAUGGCGAAGGCAGGUCUCUGGGCUGACACGUGACGCUCAUGCACGAAAGCGUAGG